UACGUAGGGAGCAAGCGUUGUUCGGAAUUACUGGGCGUAAAGGGCUCGUAGGCGGCCAACUAAGUCAGACGUGAAAUCCCUCGGCUUAACCGGGGAACUGCGUCUGAUACUGGAUGGCUUGAGUUUGGGAGAGGGAUGGCGGAAUUCCAGGUGUAGCGGUGAAAUGCGUAGAUAUCUGGAGGAACACCGGUGGCGAAGGCGGCAUCCUGGACCAACACUGACGCUGAGGAGCGAAAGCCAGGGGAGCAA
rnacentral:rRNA from 1 species